rnacentral:rRNA from 1 species
AGUGAACGCUGGCGGCGUGCUUAACACAUGCAAGUCGAACGAGAACGGGUCUAGCUUGCUAGACUGUCAGCUAAGUGGCGGACGGGUGAGUAAUGUAUAGUUAAUCUGCCCUUUAGAGGGGGAUAACAGUUGGAAACGACUGCUAAUACCCCAUACUCCUUUUAUCUUAAUGAUAAUUGGGAAAUGUUUUUUCGCUAAAGGAUGAGACUAUAUGGUAUCAGCUAGUUGGUGAGGUAAUGGCUCACCAAGGCAAUGACACCUAGCUGGUCUGAGAGGAUGAUCAGCCACACUGGAACUGAGACACGGUCCAGACUCCUACGGGAGGCAGCAGUGGGGAAUAUUGCACAAUGGAGGAAACUCUGAUGCAGCAACGCCGCGUGGAGGAUGACACAUUUCGGUGCGUAAACUCCUUUUAUAUGGGAAGAUAA